rnacentral:miRNA from 1 species
AUGGUAAACCGGUGACGUGC